AUAACGGACCGAAGCCUAUGUUUCGGGAUUGCAAUGAGUAGAAUUUAAACCCCUUUACGAGGAUCAAUUGGAGGGCAAGUCUGGUGCCAGCAGCCGCGGUAAUUCCAGCUCCAAUAGCGUAUAUUAAAGUUGUUGCAGUUAAAAAGCUCGUAGUUGGAUUUUUGGGAGGGUGCCAAUGUCCGCUGAUUGCGUGUGCAGCGGCGCCCUUCCAUCCUUCUGUUAACGUUUCUGAUAUUCAUUUAUUGGUCUCGGGCUCAGAUAUUUUACCUUGAGAAAAUUAGAGUGUUCCAGGCAGGCUAGCGCCGGAAUACAUUAGCAUGGAAUAAUAGAAUAGGACUUUAGUCU
rnacentral:rRNA from 1 species